rnacentral:sRNA from 1 species
UCAUUUAAAGUUUUAUAGUCGCGACAUC